UUUAAAAGAGAGUGACAUACCAGGCACCUGGGUGGCUCAGUUGGUUGGGUGUCCAACUCUUGAUUUGGGCUCAGGUCAUGAACUCACAGUUUGUGAGUUCGAGCCCCACGUGGGGCUCCGUGCUGGCAGUGUGGAGCCUGCUUAGGAUUCUCUCUCUCCCUCUCUCUCUCUCUCUGUCCCCUGCUUUCUUGCUCUCUCUCUCUCUCUCUCUCAAUAAAUAAACUUAAAAAAAAGAGAGAGGUUUACAUACAUCUCAGGGAGACAGAGAUAUAGCAUUUACAAUGUCAACUUUUCUAAAGGAAAUGCUGAAGUGUGGGAGAGGGUCUGGUUUUCCUGUCAUGCACCAGAGACUCAAUUUCUCUAGUUCUAGGUUUGUAUUCACCCUUACAGGGCACACUCAUACAUAUAUACACACUCACACACCGCCAUAGACACAUUAUAGGCACACACGCUCUUAUACACAUAUACACAUGCAUCUGCAUACACACAUAACAUUCUCAUAAACACUCACACACAUGCAUACAUGGACACAGACAUGUAUGGUGGUGCUCGUGGCCUUGUCCACAUCCCACCAAUGGAACCGGGUUAUAUACUUAGUUCUCCAUCUUGCCUUUUUCACUUGACAUUGCACCACAGAGAUUGUCUCUUCCUGGUAGAGGAAUUAACGAUAAUUAAUGGUAAUGCAGACCCCUAACUUUAAAAAAAAAAUUUUUUUUUCAACGUUUAUUUUAUUUUUGGGACAGAGAGAGACAGAGCAUGAACGGGGGAGGGGCAGAGAGAGACGGAGACACAGAAUCGGAAACAGGCUCCAGGCUCCGAGCCAUCAGCCCAGAGCCUGAUGCGGGGCUCGAACUCACGGACCGCGAGAUUGUGACCUGGCUGAAGUCGGACGCUUAACCGACUAUGCCACCCAGGCGCCCCGUGCAGACCCCUAACUUUUAGGUGAGCCAAUAUUCCCCUAGGCGCUUCAUCUACAUGCAUGCUUUUAACCCCCAUACCCUAAGGGUUGCAUACUACUAUACCCCCAUUUUACAGAUGGGGCAACAGAGGCUCAGAGAGGCCCCGAGGGCCACACCUGGUGCUGUUUCGUGGUCUUUAAGCAGUGACGUUCUCCACCACGUGCAUGCACAAGACUUUCUAUGUUCUGGAGAGACUGAAGAGGGGAGUUCCCAGAGCAGUGCAUGGACCAUGGUAGAUACUCAGCGAGAGUGUGUCUCAAGAGUGAAGAGUUCUUGGUGCUGUGGGGGGAGCUGGAGAAAUCAGAGCAACAGAAGACUGUUCUAAUCUCUUCAUAGCUCUGAACAACGGUCUGGUCCAAACGUCUGGUCUUCACAGCUAUCCUGAGACCGAUGCUGUUCUUUCUCACCCUUCUUUUUGCAGACCGAGAAACUGAGGCAGAGAGGUUUCAGGUCACAUAAGGUGGGUGGUGUGGGAUGUGGCCCUGGAGAGCUGUGGGUAGAGAGAGGCCCCAGGGUCACUCCCCCAGGUUAUGAAAUUUUCUCCUCCAAGGGGGGAUAUGCACUUCACUUCAUUCGAUUCUCCAACACCCUGCAAGUGGAGUAGAAAUGAUUAGUCCCACUGUCUAGGUAGGGACCAGAAAGGUAGGAGAGGGGAUGAGGGGUGCCCAAGGCCACAC
rnacentral:lncRNA from 1 species